AACGAACGCUGGCGGCAGGCUUAACACAUGCAAGUCGAACGCCCCGCAAGGGGAGUGGCAGACGGGUGAGUAACGCGUGGGAAUCUACCGUACCCUACGGAACAACAGUUGGAAACGACUGCUAAUACCGUAUACGCCCUUAGGGGGAAAGAUUUAUCGGGGUAUGAUGAGCCCGCGUUGGAUUAGCUAGUUGGUGGGGUAAAGGCCUACCAAGGCGACGAUCCAUAGCUGGUCUGAGAGGAUGAUCAGCCACAUUGGGACUGAGACACGGCCCAAACUCCUACGGGAGGCAGCAGUGGGGAAUAUUGGACAAUGGGCGCAAGCCUGAUCCAGCCAUGCCGCGUGAGUGAUGAAGGUCUUAGGAUUGUAAAGCUCUUUCACCGAUGAAGAUAAUGACGGUAGUCGGAGAAGAAGCCCCGGCUAACUUCGUGCCAGCCGCCGCCGUAACAC
rnacentral:rRNA from 1 species